CGGGGUGAGUAACGCGUGGAUAACCUGCCUUACACAGGGGGAUAACGCUUAGAAAUAGGCGCUAAUACCGCAUAAGCGCACAGCCUCGCAUGAGGGAGUGUGAAAAGCCUCGGCGGUGUAAGAUGGAUCCGCGUCUGAUUAGCCAGUUGGCGGGGUGACGGCCCACCAAAGCGACGAUCAGUAGCCGGCCUGAGAGGGUGGACGGCCACAUUGGGACUGAGACACGGCCCAGACUCCUACGGAAGGCAGCAG
rnacentral:rRNA from 1 species